rnacentral:rRNA from 1 species
UUUGUCCUACGGGGGGCAGCAGUGGGGGAUAUUGCACAAUGGGGGCAACCCUGAUGCAGCGACGCCGCGUGAGCGAUGGAGUACUUCGGUAUGUAAAGCUCUGUCAGCAGGGAAGAGAAUGACGGUACCUAACCAAGAAGCCCCGGCUAAAUACGUGCCAGCAGCCGCGGUAAUACGUAUGGGGCAAGCGUUAUCCGGAUUUAUUGGGUUUAAAGGGUGCGUAGGCGGAAUAUCAAGUCAGCGGUAAAAAUUCGGGGCUCAACCCCGUCGUGCCGUUGAAACUGAUGUUCUUGAGUGGGCGAGAA